UACGGAGGGUGCGAGCGUUGUCCGGAAUCACUGGGCGUAAAGGGCGCGUAGGUGGCGCGGGCAGUCAACGGUGAAAGUUCGGGGCUCAACCCUGAAUCGGCCGUCGAUACUCCCGGGCUUGAGCACUGUAGAGGCAGAUGGAAUUCCGGGUGUAGCGGUGGAAUGCGUAGAGAUCCGGAAGAACACCAGUGGCGAAGGCGGCUUCCUGGUCUGCGACUGACGCUGUGGCGCGAAAGCUAGGGGAGCAAACGGG
rnacentral:rRNA from 1 species